CAGCCGCCACGGUAAUACAGAGGGUGCGAGCGUUAAUCGGAUUUACUGGGCGUAAAGCGUGCGUAGGCGGCUUUUUAAGUCGGAUGUGAAAUCCCUGAGCUUAACUUAGGAAUUGCAUUCGAUACUGGGAAGCUAGAGUAUGGGAGAGGAUGGUAGAAUUCCAGGUGUAGCGGUGAAAUGCGUAGAGAUCUGGAGGAAUACCGAUGGCGAAGGCAGCCAUCUGGCCUAAUACUGACGCUGAGGUACGAAAGCAUGGGGAGCAAACAGGAUUAGAUACCCGUGUAGUCCCUGUCUCUUAUAC
rnacentral:rRNA from 1 species